rnacentral:rRNA from 1 species
AGAGGCUCAAGUUGAUGAACCCCGGCGUAAAGAGUGGUUAAGGGAGAUCAAAACUAAAGCCGAAUGCUUUCAAAGCUGUUAUACGCUUCCGAAAGUAAGAAGCCCAAUCACGAAAGUGGCUUUACUUUACCUGACCCCACGAAAGCUACGACACAAACUGGGAUUAGAUACCCCACUAUGCCUAGCCUUAAACAUUGGCAACACUUUACACCUGCUGCCCGCCAGGAAACUACGAGCAUUA